CCAUACAAAUUUACAUAAUGCAUUUUGAUGAUUUAUGUGUACCAAUUUGCGGGAGGUUGUUAUGUGUGCCAAUUUGCAACUAAGUCAUUAAUUAAACAAAACAUAGAAUCAUGUGGCUACAAGCAUGGAAAGAUGAAUGAACAUACGAGUCAGGGACCCUUAAUCAAAACAUGUCAAGUGAUUCAGAUUUCAGAAUACCUUAAUCAGAAAGCCCCAAAAAGGUCAUGGCAAGAAGUGUUUGUACAUAUUAAAAAUAGUGCAAAGCAAGUAAAGCAAUAUAGCUUCAGAAAUAAAACCACAACGCUACCAAAUCUGGUCAUGCAUACCAAAAAAAGGGGAAAAAUGGAAAGGAAAGGAAAGGGAAAAGAAGAACCCACUCAUGCCCAUACAUGAUAUCAGAAUCUGGUAUGUACAUCUCAAGAUCUAAACAAAGAUGAAUAUAAAUUUCUCAGUCCUAGCGUCGAACUUAUUUUCCCUCUAAGUAGCACCUAGCAUCCGAAUAGAAAGAUGGAAAAAUUGUACAGUAUCAAAUUUAUAACAAGAGCUCCAAAAUGAUAUUGUUAUCUAACUACAGAGAAACUUAUAACAAGUCUGACCUUUCUGCAAGCAUUGCUGAACCUUCUUCAAACAGUUCUUCUACAAUACCCACAGCAGACAACUUCUUUGCCAGCUUACUAGCAGAAUCCUCUGACCUUUUCCUGAAAAUGAGAGACUUGAGUUUGUUCGUCUUUCUUGGUGGAGAUGGAGGCAGUACUGAAUGAUCAGGCGGAAUUAUGUCAACAACGAUGCAGGUUGUGUCAUCUUUCAGCCCCCUUGUCCUCAGUGCUUCCUGAAUGUUCGUCAGUAAAAUGUGAUAAGGAUGCUUUACCAUACAAUUAGCUGGAUCAUCUAUAUCUAUGCCAUCAAAAGCAAUCAAAUCCAACACUGAUGCAUCAAUAGAACUUCAUAAAAUAUAUUGCCUAAGGGCUAAACCAGGAUGGUCACACAGCUUGCAAAUGACAAAUUCGAAAGGGACACAACAAGUAAUUAAUCACCUUCACAACUUGUCUGGCAGCAAGCUCAGCAGGCAACCCACGGCACGACUUUGCAGCCAUCUCAGAGGAUAGGGCAUCCCAAAUGCCAUCUGAAGCAAUGAUAAGUCUUCCCCCAGCAUUUGAUAGCUGGUGUACCAACAAAGAUUGUUAAGACAAAAAUGAAGACUAUUAGGAUAAAUGGAAGUGAAUAUAAAAGUCAUAAAAAAAUUAGCCAUUAAAAGAGAUUAAUAUGAUACAUAACUAAUACCUUCACUUGCUUGACAUAAGGUACUGGAACAAUAAAUUCUCCAACAUCCAUAUCUCCGAUAGACCUUGAUAGGCAUAAACCCCCUGGCCAACAUCGGAGGGGACCUAUCUGAAAUGAAGGCAAGAAACUGAUGAAUUUAAUUUUUUUCAACAUCACAUAAAAUGGCCGAACAUGUUCUUGUUAUCCAUUUUAAUUUAUUUAUGCUAAUGAAACCGAGAUCACAAAGCAAUCCCACCUCAGCACCACCCAUAAUGCUGAGCCUUCCUACUUCACCUCCACUCGCGGUCACCCGUUCCCUCCUGCACAUCACUUGUUCAGCAGAAAGGGGAAUAACUUUAGAAGAAUAACAUAAAAGAGAACACCAGGUACCCACUCUUCGACAUUUUCUUCUAGCCUGUGAUCCACGGUCAGUAGAGAAACCACCCCGCCAUGAGCAUCUAAAAUGCAACGGGAGUCUCCAACUGAAGCAACAGUGAUGGUCCAUCCAUCAAUUAUCACAAAUGUGACAGUUGUACCAGAAGUUUGUCCUGGUAAAUACCAUGUAUCAAUCGUCCCCGCAUUAGUUCAUCCAGGUAUAGGCCAAAUCUUCAACAGAAUAAUAUCAUGAGGAAAGAAAAAAAUAGUAGCACGCGUGCCUCUGCUCUGGAAUUCUUUGUCAGUCUUGACAAACCCAGCAACUAGCGCACGAGGCAAAGCUUGAAGCCACUCUUCCCGGCUAAGUCCACGUGGUAUUGCACUCAGUACAUGAUUCAACAGGUUCUCCCUUGCAUAUAUUGCCGCAGCAUUCCCAUUGUGGCCAUCCAAGACCUGAAAAGAAUUCGGCUCAGCUCGGCUCACCAAAUAAUUCUUCUUAUCACAAACUGCAUCGCAUUAAUGGCAGCAAAGACAAACAGACUUGGCUUUAAGGAUUCUAAAUAUUAUAAUUCUUAGAAGCAUAGAGGCUACCAUACAUUAAACUAAACGAAAAAAAAAGUCAAGUCCUCGCAACCCCCAGAUCAGGCUGCUAAAGAACAAUUAUCCAAGAAAAUCUUUCUCCAUGAGGUCAGUUAAAACCUUCACCAAUCAAUACAUUCAUUUUUUUUCUUUUGAUAAUUAGUUCAACGAACAUUAAAUUCCACCAAAAGUGGCACCUUUUUUUGACAGAUAUUUUGAAAACUUAAAGAAGUCAAUUCCUGCAGCAAGCAAUCAUUAAUUAAGAACUUGAAAGGAUCAAAAGCGCGAACAACAUUCUCUUAGCAAGCAACCACACAAAACCGAUCAGAAAUGUAAUUGUGCCAAAAUGCUGGAAAAGAGCAGAUCGAUUGUUAAAAGCAAGCGAAUGAGAGAGAGAGAGAGAGAGAGGGACAAAAUGCUCACGGCGAAGACGGAGAAGGCGGACGAGGGGUUGCCGGGGAGGCGGUGGCAGUCGACCUUUAUGAGGAAGUAGUCCUCCCCCUUCUUGGACUGCGCGGCGCAACCGUACCGAAUGCACGGCUUCUCCAUCUUCUCGCUCUUCAGCUCCCGGCCUAUCAGCACCGCUAGAGGAACCAGAUCGUGCCGCCGGUGCCGCCGCCUCCCCUUCAUCGCCGCGGCCGCCACAGACGGCUCGGCCAUCUCUUCCGCCGCUCUCUCCUCCUCCUCCGCUCCCCUUGAGAUUCGCGCCCUCCGAUCUCUCAUCCCCAAGGGCCCAGGCCUCAGAUCUGGUACAAGGAAGUGAUAGAGCCGACGCGAAGAAGAAGAAGAAGAACAAGAAGAAGAGAUGGCUGAUGGUUCAACGCGGAAACGCGGUUAGCUGCUGACCGAGACGUGAACUGUAUCAUGCCCCCCCCAUCCGCCAUCAAAUGCGCACCAGGGGGGACGGGGGAAAUACAAAAACAAACCCUCUCUUUUGGAGUUUUGGGUAUAAGACUUUCUUUUCCCAAUUAAAACCCUAGCAUGAGACUUUAACUUGUCAGUAGAAUCGAGCAAAAUGGAACGUUUAAAAUAUAUACAUAUAUACUACUUGAAUAUUAUUUAACGAUAAAAAUAUAAUAAUAAGGAAAUUUUGCAAAAUGAAAUUGUUUGAAGAUUUUUUAUUAUUAUUUCUCCAAUGGCCUCUUGCACCACUCCAAUUUCGUUCUCAAUAUAUUAUUUUUUAGCCACCAUGUAGAGAAAAUAUAUUAUUAGUUGGGGUAGGGAUGGCAGUAAAGGUGAAGUUGUAGUGGUGCUUGUGAGUGAUGAUAAUAUUUUAAAUAGUAGCAAAGAAGAGGAAGGUAGGAUUAAAAAUGAGGUGUGGUUGUUAAGAAAGAUUAUGGUUAUAAUGCUCUAUUGACAUUGCCGGCCUUUUCACUAGCUCUAAUAUUUUCUCCAUUUUCUUCACUUUCUUGUUAAUGCCGUCUUCCUUCUCCUUCUCUCGUCCUCGCCUGCCAUUCCAUCCAACUUUCCCUCUCUUUUCUCUCCACCAAGUUUGGCUUUUUCCCAAGAUGACCACCUUCCUCCUACAGUUCCAAUUCGGCCGCUUUUAAUUCUUUCACGAACAUUAUCAUUUUUCUCCGUAAUCUCUUUGCUAGCCGCAUCUCGUUUUUAAACCCACCUUCUUUAUUUUGGACAACAUUUAGAAUGCCAUCUUUUUUUAUAAGCUAGCAGUCUUUCUUUCUGUGAUGGUCUCUCACAUCUUACAAAAUUGAUCCGAUUGGUUUUACCAUAUAUAUGCUUUGGCCACUGUACGGAAGAAAUAUAUUGUCAGCUAUAUUGAGGGAUGGAAGAGACAAAAUAUGGGCAAAACUGCUAAAUUAAAAAUGUAUCCAUUUUACAAAAUGAAUCUUUUAACAUUUUUUUCAUAAAAUUUGCUAAUAAUUAUGAUAAUAAUAAGAUAUGUGCAACAUAGAAUAGGUGAGUAGGUGAAAAGUAGGUGCCGAUGGAAGAAUUCCUCGUCCCUUUUUCUUUUUCCUAUCCUCCUCUUUUCUCGCCCUUUGGACGUCUUUCUCGCUGAGCAAAGGUAUAAGAGGCUACGGUUGGAAGGAGCCUAAGGGUGAUAAAUAAAUAGUCUUUGUGCCACCGUGGAGGAAUUUUCUGAUCGUAUUUGCUUUUCAUUCUUCAUAUGCUUAGAAACUACAAUGACAAUAUUUAUUUGGUGUGCAUAAUAAUAUUAUAAGGAUUUGGAUAUUUUAUAAGGAUCUUUAAAGGAUCCUCGGAGCUGUCUAAAUACUAUAAUAACAAUAUUUAUUUGGUGUGCAGAAUAAUAUUGUAGGGAUUUGGAUAUUUUAUAAGUUUCUUUAAAGGAUCCUCGGAGCUGUCUAAAUACUAUAAUAACCGUCCUGUCUUGUCCAGAUGGAUUGUUUUGUUAACUCGCGGAAUAAUUCAUUUCAACUUCGAGCUUUGGUCGAUUAUUUUAUUUUUCAGGUUUUUUUCUUAAUUUAAUAAUGUAACAUGAAUUAGAGAAUUUUGGGAUUAAAUUAUGUGGAGAGAAGGAUCUCUGGAGAUCGUGAGAGCUGUCUUAAGCUGGACUCUGUCUUUUGCUCGGAAGGAAGAAGUCGAAUAGUUUGUCGGUGUCGGCAAUUUAAGUAUAUAUCAAUUCUUAGAAGAUCGAUUGCUGGGAAGACAAGCUUGCUUAUGUUUAAAGAAGAAGGUAAGUAACUUGCUUGUGGAGUUGAUGAAAAUUAUUGAUUUAGUGGGGGUUUUGGAUCGGCUGCAAUGAUGUGGAAGAGGUGAAGUGUUCUCUGGUUAGGGUUCAGAUGGCCUAAUCCGCCACUUAGCUUCGGACCUUGGGAAAGGGAAAUCUGCAAUGAAAGGAACCACCAGAUAAAAAAAGCUUUGCCCAGAAACUACUAUACAGCUCACAUCAGUUACUUGUUCCUGUUUGGUUCUGACAACCAAACCGGACAGUAUUGGCUUCAUGAGCAGAUCACUUGAGAAAUAUUUGACGAUUCGCAGACUGCAUAAUGUAUUGAUGAAGAUUUCAUGGAUUACGUAUCUAUAUAUAUCUAUUUGUUGUUUUGUUCUUUCAUUGUUUUUUCCUUUUUUUGUUUUCUUUGACAUGAAUAAAUGUAUAAAUAUAUCAACAAACUUCAAUUACUUAUUUGUUUUAAUCUUGUUUAGUUUUUAGUUAUUCAUAUUCUUUCUAAACUUUUUAUGGAAUCCUUGCAUAUUUCUGAAUUGCAAAUCCUUGCCUCCGCUUAAAUUGUUUCAAAAUUAAUCCUGCUGGUCUCAGAAUAAGCUGGUUGAGUAACAGGUCGAAGUGUUCCUACUCUUCCUAGAUGUAUGUUUAUAAAAUGGUUAAAUUAUCUCUAAAAUUCUGCAUUCAAAUACAAUAACCCCUUCAUUUAAGCUCGCAACAAUGCCCUCAAAAUCCUGCAACACAUACAGUUUAUUACAUACUUAUCCAGGUCACAUUUCACAAGCUUAUUUAUAGAACACCACAUACCAACUGCGGCGCCAAAAACCACCCGAUCCUGGUCAGCAUGAAGAUUUUGUUGGUCGAGCAACUAAUAAUAUACAUGCAGAGGAAAAGACAAACCCUCACAACCAUAGAGGAAGAUUUUCUUAGUUAAAAGAACAACUAAUAACAUCCAUGCAGAGGAAGAGCCAAACUAUCACAACCAUUGAGGAAGAUUUUCUUAGCUAAGCAGGUAGCUAAUUAACAUCCAUGCAGAGAAGAGGCAAACCAUCACAACCAUAUAGGAAUGGAACUUUUCAUAGGAUUUCAUGGGUCUUAGUUACUAAGACCAACAUACUGUGAAAGGUUGAUGUCAAAAUGAAGGUCAGCGCAUGCUUCAUCAUAUUAAGUGAUUGUCAUUGUACAGCAUGAAGCACAAAAAUCCACAUCCAAAAUACCUUCAAAUAUCUAUAUGCAACAAGCUUAUCCUCUUUGACACACUAAAAGGAAAAUUCCAAUUAAGAUUCAAGGUGAAGAGACUAUUUUGCAAAGCUAAGGAUCAUCACCACCAUCCCGCAAUGACAUCAGGGAGCUCUAUUUCUUAGUUAAUUUUCAUUGGCUGCUGCUCCACUUGAAAUAUCAAGAACAGGUACAUUCAUGUUAUUGUGAAAAUAUUAGCUUAUAGGAUCACUUUUCUGAUAAAAACUUUAAAGAAUUGGUGUCAAAAUAAUAAAUUCUGAAAGUUGCAACAUGCUUGGGUGGCCCUAGAUGUACGAAACAAUGAGAUAAUAGUCCUUUUUUUUCAGGGGAAAAUCAAUAUACUCUCGUGCUCUAUUCUGUAUACCUGCAUAUUCUGGUCAGAUUGGAGGGAGAAGAAUUAACACACAGUGUCCUGUAUGACAUGGUCUGGCAAGUAAGCAUUUCAUCUAUUGGGUUUGACAAGACCAAACAGCUGCGUCCAAGCCUUUCUCCUCCAUUAUUGCUCUCUUUCUCACAAUCAAUGUUAGACUUCAGGUGGGUUUUGGAGUGGUUCAAGCUCAGGUUGGAAACACUCGAUGCAAAAAUCUUUGAAUCAUCUCGUAACUAGUGAAGGUGAUGACUGCAGUUGGGGUAGUUCUUAGCAAAUUUGUGCCACAGCCACGAUAGAAGCCAGAGAUGCCUUCCUUCUGAAAGACUUUCUUAGUGCAGUCCACUACACCUGUGUAUUGGUUAGCAGUAUCACGUGCCUGGCCUUGUUCUUGCAGCCUGGACCGUACUACCUGAUGGAGACAACACGAUAAAUUUGAAGAAGAUGAUUGAAUGACAUAUUAUCAUAAUUUCUAACUGUCUCUCUCCAACAGGGUUUACAACUUGACAAAAAUCUUUUAUAGGAGGAUGUUUAGUUCUCAAUAUCUUAGUUCAGAAGAAACUUUUUAAACCAUCCAUUUUAUACGCACUUCCUGAAUUGGCCUUGGAUGGCAAUCAGGCUACACACUUCCCCUCUUCCACCAGUUCCCAAGCUAGAAGCUACAGAACUUUAGUCAUUCAGCCAUGACCAAUGAAAGGUGCUCUCAACUCAGAACUAUUCUGCGCUGAGGAGACCGAACAAGCACAUCUUAGUAGCAAGUUCUGCAUGCAAUCCUUAAGCAUAUACCAGAAGAUGUCAGGCAUACCUCGUGAGGAUAUGUCAUUGUGGACGCGAUUAUUUUUGAUAGUGAAGAAGCAAUAGCAACGCUUCCAGGGCUGAGCUUGUCCACUGUGGUAUUAUCUGGGAAACCAUAACAGCUCAGCAACCAAAAAUAGAAAAAAAACAGGGUAAAGGUCUACACUCUAAAAUUUUGGAAUCCCAAAGAUCUCACUACCCCUUCUGGCCAAGUAAUACUUGAUCUUUUCAUAUGCUGGAAAUUGGAUGGCAACAUGACUAACCCCUGCCAAAGAAGGAAGGAGGCCACUGUGCACAACACAAAAAAUAGCAUGUAAAGGGCACAGAACUAGAUAGUCAAAAAUUGAACAAAAUAAUUUAUAUGAUUGACACUCAUGGAUUUAAUGAAAUACAAAAAAAUCAAUUGACCUGUAAAAUCCUUGGACACCCUCUUCAUGCACAAUCCUUCGAAAAGCAGAUAACAUGUUUCUGUAAGGCACCACUCCAGGCCUCAUUCCUUGUGUCUGUCAGUGAAAGAAACAACAUAAACCAGCUAACCAUGCAGAAGAAUUUUUCUACACUUCCAAAAUAUGAUUUCAAUUUAUUUGCAUUAUAUGUGAAUGAGGAGGUACCUGCAAAAAUGAUGAUGGCCAUUAAAAUGGGUCAAUAAGCAUGAAGAUAUAGUUAUGAGGUAAAUUAAUCCAAUAAUUGACCAACAAGGUAUAUAAACAAUAACCAACACGCCACACAGCACAUAAAAAAUAAUCAAAUUACCUACUCCAUUAUGUCUAAUUAUAGGGUUUCUCCAAAAGGACAAGUACCUCACAAUUUCCUGUUAUAACUAAAUCCGAGUCUGCUUUUGUUCAACACUUCCUAAUACAUCAAUUCAAAAUUUCCAACUUAGCUAAUGGAGAAGGGGAAUAUAUACCCUCCGUAGAUGAUUGGAAUCUUUUAAUUCCUCGAGAGAUCUAACAUCACUCUCAUAAAACUCCUUGACAAAUAUCCAUAUUUUAAUUCUAAAAGAUGACCUAGAAGUUAGAACAACCCUGCAUCAUUCUAAAGUCCAAAAUAUAAAAUUAUAUUAUCAACAUAGACUGUCAUAAAUAAGAUAGAGGCCUCUUGAUUUAACCUUCAAGCAGUGUUGCAUGGAAUUGGAUAUGGGAAUCAGAUUUGGACAUAGAUCCAAGUGCUUGACCCGGCAAGAGGGAAAAGAGAGAUAAGAGGAUACUUAAGAUUGUAUAAAUUUACCAAAAUUAUAUAUUCAAAUCUUUAAACAUCAACUAUUUAAACAUUAAAAAGAGAAUGUUAAAAAAUAUUGUUUGUUAAGAUCUUUCAACAUAUAUGUUUCUCAUUCAAACCUACCAAUUAACUUAAGGAUAUUAGUAGAAUAAUAUUUUGCAAAGUUGUUUUAAUGCCUACGUCUUUAACAAAUCUCGAAAAAGAGCAAACACUCACUCCUAGUAUCAAAUUAAAGGAUCAAACUAAUUGACGGAACUCGGAAGAGUUCGACUCACUUAUUGCUGGAAGAGUUCAUCUGUCUUCCAAUCUUAAAGUGGCUACCAAAGAACUGCAUAAGUAUCCGAUACAUAUCCGACUUAGAUACAUAUCUCGUACAAAUUUUUAGAGUUGGACGCAAGUGUCCAGGUAACAAUGCCUCCAAGCAAACUAUGUAUGGACUUUCUAACUUAAUUAAUUCGGUAGCAAUUCUUAACACCUAUAAAUCAAGACUAAUCAAUAAAAACAACUGAUAAGUGGCAUAUGAAGUACAUAUGCCUUCCAAUUAGACUGUAUUCUAAGAAACACAAUGAUGCUUUAUAUUGGGCCCUCAACUAGAUCCUACAUCAAUCGCUUCUAUCACAUGAGAAUCCUUGGGCACAUAUUUAUCUAAAAGUGAACUUACCAGGAUUUUAGAUCUUUGGUCGCAGAAAUUUAGUUUUGUUUUCAGUUUUGGCUUUUUUAUUUGUUGUCUUAGUGCUUUUUUACUUGUAUGGUUGACAUUAGAUGAUUUGGUCUUAUAAUCUGAAGGAUUUAGGUCAUUACAUGAUGUGGAUACUUAAAACUGCCUCAUCAGCAACAUAGAGACACUCCAACCUCUUAGGCACCUUUAUGUCCCACCCAACCCGUCCUCUCUCGACAGAUCUUCCUAUGACCAGCCAAAUAAGAAAAGACAAUUUGAGAGUUCUUUUUUUGUUUGGUUAGGGUUUUUAUGAUUCCAUAGAAAGUGAAAGGAAAGAGAUUUAGAGAGCAAUGUUCUUCAAGAAAUUUCAAAAACAAUGAUGAGAUAUAGGUCAAAAUUUUCUCAAAGAGGCUUAUUUUUAUUCUCCAAUGGGUAGCAAUUCUGAAAGAAAAUAACAAAUAGGCAAGUGGUUCAAGAUAAUCAUAUCUAAAUCACUUUCUCUGCAAUUUACUUAGUUCAAUGAAACCUGAGAAAACCCUCGGGUUUCUUUCAUUUUCUCACUGGUUUACUUUCUUUUCUUUCAUUUUUCUCAACAGCUAACUAGAGUCUUUGGUUUUGAUUACGGUUAUAACUAGAAGUCUUAUGGUUGCAUGAACAGAUUUUGCAAGAUUAAGAUCAGAAAUUUUUCUAUUCUCCUAUGAAGCCACUAUUGUUCUUUUUCCUUCACUUUCCUCUUAAAGGCUAUUUGUUUGGAAAAGAGAACCUGGAGUAGGACCCUAUUUAAGCCACAUCAAUAUUGACAGAAUUGGAAUAACACCUAUGAUAACUAUUCCAAUCAAACCUCCCUAUUCUUGGGAUAGCUAUUUAAAAUAGGAAUCGGAGUAGGGCUAUUCUAGGAUUAUUUUUUCCCCUCAUUUUUCAUUGGACACUUUGAUUAUAUUUCUCUCCCUUCCACCAAUUAGCCUCCUCACCUUCUCUCACCUAAUCAUGGUACGAACCCAUCCUGGCCUAGUGUUGAGGAGGGUCCUUUGCGGCUGAGAAGUUCCUUCCCUUAACACCCACAACCGCCGAUUGCCGGCUUAUGCCCUCACCCAUCAGUCGGUGGUCUUAUAGGGUUGCAACAUCCAAUAUUCCUCAUGAUAUCCACUUCUUUCUAGGCACUCUGCUUCAUGUUAGCAUCAAUCUUCAUCUCACCAUAGCACCAGCAAUUCUGUUGGGUUUAACUUAGCAUGUGGAGAAGGAGAAAGUGGUGGUCAUUGUUAUGCUUAUGGUUUUAGUACUGGACCAUACUAGUCUAUAUAGUCUAUAUAGCAGUAACGAAAUUGAUACUUCGUACGCCCCCCAUAUCGAGCGUCAAUAUCAAGACUUGGACCAGAUCGAAAAUGGACUGUACCAGAAUUGUACCAUUGGGUACUGAUACGAGUAGCAGAAUCGGUAUUUAAAACCUUAGUUAUGCUUGCAUGGAGGGGCUCGUGUCAAGUCAAUGGGCACGCCUAUGGGGUUUAGUGUUGGAGCAUUGUAAGUGGAGAAGGCUAGGUGCGCUUUGGUGGGCUCUAUUGGUGAAGGAAAUAUAGUAGUAACACUUUGAUAGCCUCUAUUAAUAGAGAAGGGGAGGUUGGUAGCAUUGCCAUAUUGUGAGCUCUAUGGGUGAUCCUGUAAAUGUGCUUGUGCCAUGUUUGUGACUGUCAUUGUGAUCCUAGUGACUCUCAUCAUCUUAUUACUUCAUGUAUAAGUUGCAACUUCGUAGGCAUAACCAUGGUAGGAAAUUGAUGCAUAAUCAAAAGGAAGGCACAAUGACAGGUAUUGGAAUUCUGAUGGACAAUAACUACGAAGGCUUAAUACUUUGCAACCGAUCAAUUCAUGUGGUAAACAAUUCUUGAACACCAAACAAGUGAUGUUACAUGCAUCUCAAAUGACCCAAUAGGACUAAGGUUCUAACUUCUACGUGCACAUUUCAGCCUACAUUUUUAGCGUUAUAUCCAACUACCUACACCAACCAUGCAAAAGAUAUACAUAGAACUUCUUAAUGAAUUUGAACAGGUUGAUUGUGUUAAAACUCUAAUUGUAAGUUGAAUUAGGAAAAUUUCACGAUUAUCUAAGCCAAUUUUUAGAGUUGUCUGACUAUCACAAGCAUUACAACCAUAUUGUUCCUUCUCCUUGAGGAAGACUGUCCGAGCUUAAUCCUCUUUUCUCUUUCGCUAUUCCUUCUUAAUUCCAUUUUGUUAACCUCUUCAUUUUCCUUCUUUAGAUUCAGGUAGAAAAUCAGAUCAAAUAUAAACCUUCUAAUUUCAAUCCAAAUUAAGUGAUGGUGUCAUGCUCUAAAGCUACCAUUCCUCACACGCACUGGCAAAGGCAACAGAUAUAAAAGGAUUCCUUAGGACUAGUUAAAUGGUUUUUUUAUUUGGUCUAGCCACAUAGAAGACAAGUUAAACCCAAGGAUUAAGAUUUGGUUUUGAUCAAGGCAGAGCCUAAUUAACAACAAGCUCUUGGGUUUUGUUGGCAGAAAUUGACCAGUUUCAGACAAAUUUGGCCAAAAAUGAUAAUAAAUGAUUAUAAAUGUUAAAUUUGUUAAUUAUUUGGCCUUAGUGUCAUUAAGGUAAUUUCUUUAUUUCUUUAAGCAUGUUCCUUAGUAUAAUGGGACAUCUUUAGAAAUGAUUUACAUUCAAAUAGUGCAUUCCACAAUGUGAACUCCUAGUUUUGGAAAUUUUACGCCCCAUUUAGUAUUUAUCAAAAAUUAUUCCUAAGUUUAUUUAAGAAGAUAGACAAAUAUAAGUAGUUGAAGCAGAAGAGGUGAUGUGUUCUAAUUUCCAAUUAAUCAAAAAUAUUGGUGAGCAAAAUGAAAAGAUGAGAAAACCAUAAUUUCUAAAUAUAGGUAACCAACUCAGAAUUUUUAAGUAUGAGACUAAUAUCAGUCAUCCUUUAAUUCACGAUUCAAGCUAUCAAUCAACUAAGAGGGUCUGUGCCUCCUGAUUAUUGAUAAAACUAGCCUUCUGGAAGCAAUUAGGGUCAAACAUAUAUUUUUGCAAUUUUUAUGCAAAUGGCAAGGAAUUGGGAAUUCAAUUUCAAGAAAUUUAUAAGAAAGUAAACUAGUUUUAAUUGUAAGAGACUGUUGGUGGUUUUUGAGAGAUUUUUUGAGGAAAGAAGAGAAAAGAGUACAUUUGAACCACCCAACCCACAAAGGAGUGAAUUUAUUAGAUUCAGCUGGGAUUUGAGAGAUCUGAGCUCAAAUCUUAUAUUGUCAUUUCAUUUUGAGGUCAUAUUCUUAACCAGUUUUAUGCUCAUAGGACUUAAUACUUACAUGGGUAAAUUAUUAGGUUUUCAUCAAACAAUUGAAUAACAUACUACAGUGAUGCAUAACAAUGAUUCUUUAACACUUUUCUUAUUGUAAUAUAAUUUAAUAUUUUUAGUAAUUUCAGACUGUUAACCUAAAAACACCAGAACCAUACAUAUGACGAUUCCAUGUAGCAUAAAAUACUCUAGGACAUUGUGAUAUAUGUUUCUUUGGUUUCCUUUAUCCUCUAAUGUUUUACCUAAUUUUCUUACUUAUUUCUGAUUUUUAAGCAACAUUUCUGAAAUUGGAAUUCAAUAGGUUUGAUUGAUGCAACCAAAACCAAGAUUCUGAACCUUGGGUAAAUAUGACAUACAAUCCGCAUUUUGUUGGCAUCAAGAUAUGCCCUUGAUUAUGCAUCAAGAAUUACUCAUCUCAACUUGAUGCUCUAUACAUCCACAAUAUAUAAUAGCAUUUAGAUCAAACACUCCAGGGAAAAGAGUGCAGAACCAAGGUGUAAGAAACCACGUAUGUAUUGCUUGUUCAAAAUGCAAAUCUGGAGAAGUGAACAACUAUGAUGGCCAGUCUCAUAAUUAUCCUCUCCCUUUCUAUGACUCCAUCUUUAGGAGGUGCACUUGUCUCUUGAUCUCCCUUAUCCCUUAUAUCAGGAACUUAACAAAGUCAGGCGUAUUUAUUAUAUAUAAGAGUAGCUCUAAAGGUCAGAAAAGCGAAGGGACAUGCAAUAUUCAGUCUCCUCCCCCCAUCCCAAAGAGAUUUUUUCCCUUUAUCAUGGAUAACAUCACACAGAAGGUUGUGAAAAAGCAUAGGCAGACCCUCUCUAAGGUCUAGAUAGGUGCCUAGGGAGACAAAGCCUCCAAGGCUUCAAUUAAUGCACACCUAUGUUUUUAGUACAUUUCCCACGUGCACACAUUUUUGGUACAUUAAACCUAUUUUUCAAAUUUUAAAAAAGUCCAAAUAGGUGCUACACUACCAGCAGCUUGCUGGUUGCAGGGCCACAACGAGCAACCUGACAUGCCCAGCAGCACCAGCACAUCAAGCAAGAAAAAAAGGAAAUAGAGAGAGAGAGUCAAAGAAAGGGGAGAACAGUUGAUUCCAUCGGCAACAGGAGCAGAAGGAGAAGAAAAGGGGAGAAGACAACCCUGUAGUUAAGAGGAGAAGAAAAAGAAAAAGAAAAGAAAACUCAAAAAACUGUCUGGGUUGUUCGGUAGGAUAAGAAACCAAAAGUCCCAAAAGGAGGAGCAAAAAGUCGCUUACGAUUAAGUAGGCUGUGGCCUACGCAGUCUGGCAUGACUAGGCACCUACAUGAAUGCUUUUAACAACACUGAUCCCACAUCACGUGGCCAGCCUAAAGGAUUUAGCAACAAAAUCUGGUAGAUGACCGACCUUUCUCACCAACCCUCCUGAACAUGUUGCCUUACAUAAAAGAGGUAAAAACAACAAAAUGGAAUUUCUGUACAUUCUACUUACACAGCUAGAGUAGAUUUUUUCAUUAUUCAUCAUGUAAUUUGAAUAAGCAUCAAGGGGCAGUAUGUUAGUAUAACUACUUUAUAGCAGUAAGGCGCAUGCAUGUUUUGGUUAGGGUACAAAAUAAUUAUCCACUCAAGAUGAAAGAGCAUAAUAAAACAAUUGAAUUUGCAGCUUUGAUAAUUCAAAGCACUAUUUCUUUUCUAGAAAAGAAUAAAAAAGUUCUUCCAUGGACAUACAUUGUCUUGAUGAAAGCUGAUCAAAAGAUAUAUUUUCUUAGCUUUGUCUUUCAGGUCUUCCAAGUCACAGAGAAUCAAAGUAAUCUAGGGACUGGAUAGGACCAAAAAGAACUCUAUCAUUAGUACAUACUUUAACACUCCCAUUAUGUCUUAAGGUACUAGAGGAGUUCAAAAUUAAUCAUCCAUACUAUUAUAAACAUCAUCAAGAACUAUGCUUACCCUUUAUCAUUAGCAACAUGAAACUUAUAAAUGCUAAACAACAAACCAUAAAACAUUACAAAAUAUGGGAAUAAAGACAAAUACCAAAAAUUAUAUAAACUGCAAGAUCAGCACCUUUCAUAUAAAAUAUUUUUUUCCAUCAGCUAAGUUUGUCUCAUUGCCUCAGUCCUCACAAGCUUAGUGCCAUAAAAGGCUUAAAGAAACAAAUGAAAUUUGUAAAUUCCUUACUGUCAGAAGAUCUCUGGCAGCUAGUUUUGUUUCAUCUCUCCUUCAUAAGUUUAGUACCUACGCAAGUUCAAUAGCAGGGCUUCUAAAGCCUCUUUCUUUUUCCAACUACAACCAAAGACCCAUAGAUAAUACUAAUAAUAUGCAUUUUCUUGGAAUCAUUGAAUCUUCAAGUUGGUCACAAGCACAAAAAGAUGACAUAAGUUCUACAUUAAUCAUGAAAACUAAUUAAUGAAAUUGAAGUUCCAAUAUGUGCAAAUAUAAAAUAAACCAAAAAAGAAAAAUCAAUAAAUUAGUCAUCUCAACAAUAUACACUACUAUAAGAAGAGCAGGGCAUACUCUUUACAAAGAAACUAAUGAGCAUAUAUACAUAUAAAGAACUUCUGGUGGUGCUACCACUUUCAAAGAUCCAGGGAAAACUCAUCAAGAAAACCUCAGAAAGGAACAUAUUGCAUGUUAAUUUUCCAUAGUCAAGUGCUGGCAUACUGGCAUGUUGCAAAAUCACUUACUGGUAACUGAAAAAAAAAGUGUUUAUAUAUAUGAGGAGGGAGAGGGAGAGGGAGAGGGAGAGGGAGAGGGAGAGAGGGAGGGAGGGAGGGAGAGAGUAUGAACAGGAUACAGGUCCAGGUAGGUCGAAGUCUAGGUUAGGUUGCUUGGUGAGGUUUAUCUCAAAUUGGCUUUGGGGUUUUGGACCUGUUAUUGAUUAAUUUCCUCAUUGGGUUCAAGGCAACUGAAAGUCCAAUUGGGGCUAGUUUCAAAAUUCUGAGACUUGAUCAGUCCUCUUUUCAAAACUCGUGACUUGAUAGUUCAGGUACCAGGUCUAGGUUGAGGUCAAGACGUAGACAAUGAUAAACCAUAUGCACCCCGAGGUGGAAAAAUAAGGCCUGGGCCUGAAGUGUCAUCUUUACUAACUAAAGAGAAAGUGGAAGCUUGGCUUUCCUAUCCCUGUGGUAUUAUUCCUCACACAAGUCAGAAGGGACAACAAGAAGAGGCUGGGAGAGAGAGCUUUAUUAGCUUCUCUGAAAGUGACCUUCUAGCCUCUAGUUAAACAAAAAGACCUCUAGUAUGGCAUUACCGAACACACACUUCUGCAAAAAGAAUAUAUAAAGAACAUGAAGAACUUACUUUAUCCAAUAUCAAACACACAUAUCACAAACCUAGUCUUGCAUGCAUGCAUGUGCAUAAGUGUGGGGGGUUAGUGGGUGGGUCUGGG
rnacentral:lncRNA from 1 species